rnacentral:rRNA from 1 species
ACGUAGGUGGCAAGCGUUAUCCGGAUUUACUGGGUGUAAAGGGCGUGUAGGCGGGACUGUAAGUCAGGCGUGAAAACCAUGGGCUCAACCCAUGGCCUGCGUUUGAAACUAUGGUUCUUGAGUGUCGGAGAGGUAAUCGGAAUUCCGUGUGUAGCGGUGAAAUGCGUAGAUAUACGGAGGAACACCAGUGGCGAAGGCGGAUUACUGGACGAUAACUGACGCUGAGGCGCGAAAGCGUGGGGAGCAAACAG